rnacentral:rRNA from 1 species
GAUGAACGCUAGCUACAGGCUUAACACAUGCAAGUCGAGGGGCAUCAGGAAGAAAGCUUGCUUUCUUUGCUGGCGACCGGCGCACGGGUGAGUAACACGUAUCCAACCUGCCCUUUACUCGGGGAUAGCCUUUCGAAAGAAAGAUUAAUACCCGAUGGCAUAAUGAUUCCGCAUGGUUUCAUUAUUAAAGGAUUCCGGUAAAGGAUGGGGAUGCGUUCCAUUAGGUUGUUGGUGAGGUAACGGCUCACCAAGCCUUCGAUGGAUAGGGGUUCUGAGAGGAAGGUCCCCCACAUUGGAACUGAGACACGGUCCAAACUCCUACGGGAGGCAGCAGUGAGGAAUAUUGGUCAAUGGGCGCUAGCCUGAACCAGCCAAGUAGCGUGAAGGAUGAAGGCUCUAUGGGUCGUAAACUUCUUUUAUAUAAGAAUAAAGUGCAGUAUGUAUACUGUUUUGUAUGUAUUAUAUGAAUAAGGAUCGGCUAACUCCGUGCCAGCAGCCGCGGUAAUACGGAGGAUCCGAGCGUUAUCCGGAUUUAUUGGGUUUAAAGGGAGCGUAGGUGGACUGGUAAGUCAGUUGUGAAAGUUUGCGGCCCAACCGUAAAAUUGCAGUUGAUACUGUCAGUCUUGAGUACAGUAGAGGUGGGCGGAAUUCGUGGUGUAGCGGUGAAAUGCUUAGAUAUCACGAAGAACUCCGAUUGCGAAGGCAGCUCACUGGACUGCAACUGACACUGAUGCUCGAAAGUGUGGGUAUCAAACAGG